UGGCACUGUUUAUCACUGGCCAAACCCUAGU
rnacentral:piRNA from 1 species